GAGACCUCAGGUCAGGCGGGGC
rnacentral:rRNA from 1 species